CAGUCGACGAUGAGCCCUUCGGGGUGGAUUAGUGGCGAACGGGUGAGUAACACGUGGGCAAUCUGCCCUUCACUCUGGGACAAGCCCUGGAAACGGGGUCUAAUACCGGAUGAUACUUCCACUCGCAUGGGUGGGGGUUGAAAGCUCCGGCGGUGAAGGAUGAGCCCGCGGCCUAUCAGCUUGUUGGUGAGGUAGAAGCUCACCAAGGCGACGACGGGUAGCCGGCCUGAGAGGGCGACCGGCCACACUGGGACUGAGACACGGCCCAGACUCCUACGGGAGGCAGCAGUGGGGAAUAUUGCACAAUGGGCGAAAGCCUGAUGCAGCGACGCCGCGUGAGGGAUGACGGCCUUCGGGUUGUAAACCUCUUUCAGCAGGGAAGAAGCGAAAGUGACGGUACCUGCAGAAGAAGCGCCGGCUAACUACGUGCCAGCAGCCGCGGUAAUACGUAGGGCGCAAGCGUUGUCCGGAAUUAUUGGGCGUAAAGAGCUCGUAGGCGGUCUGUCGCGUCGGAUGUGAAAGCCCGGGGCUUAACCCCGGGUCUGCAUUCGAUACGGGCAGACUAGAGUGUGGUAGGGGAGAUCGGAAUUCCUGGUGUAGCGGUGAAAUGCGCAGAUAUCAGGAGGAACACCGGUGGCGAAGGCGGAUCUCUGGGCCAUUACUGACGCUGAGGAGCGAAAGCGUGGGGAGCGAACAGGAUU
rnacentral:rRNA from 1 species